rnacentral:rRNA from 1 species
AGUGAACGCUGGCGGUAGGCCUAACACAUGCAAGUCGAACGGCAGCACAGUAAGAGCUUGCUCUUACGGGUGGCGAGUGGCGGACGGGUGAGGAAUACAUCGGAAUCUACUUUUUCGUGGGGGAUAACGUAGGGAAACUUACGCUAAUACCGCAUACGACCUACGGGUGAAAGCAGGGGAUCUUCGGACCUUGCGCGAUUGAAUGAGCCGAUGUCGGAUUAGCUAGUUGGCGGGGUAAAGGCCCACCAAGGCGACGAUCCGUAGCUGGUCUGAGAGGAUGAUCAGCAACACUGGAACUGAGACACGGCCCAGACUCCUACGGGAGGCAGCAGUGGGGAAUAUUGGACAAUGGGGGCAAGCCUGAUCCAGCCAUACCGCGUGGGUGAAGAAGGCCUUCGGGUUGUAAAGCCCUUUUGUUGGGAAAGAAAAGCAGCAGGUUAAUACCCCGCUGUUCGGACGGUACCCAAAGAAUAAACACCGGCUAACUUCGU